GGAUAUAUAACUCAGUGGUAGAGCAUUCGACUCCAAAUCAAGAGGUCACUCGUUCAAUCCGGGUAUCCC
rnacentral:tRNA from 1 species